AGCCUCGUAGCUCAGUUGGAUAGAGCGCCGCGCUACGAACGCGGAGGUCGCAGGUUCGAAUCCCGCCGAGGCUA
rnacentral:tRNA from 1 species